GCCCGGUUAGCUCAGCUGGUUAGAGCGUCGUACUAAUAUAACAUCUGCUGUUAUAUCAAGUUCAUGCGAAGGUCAACAGUUCAAUCCUGUUACUGGGCA